rnacentral:piRNA from 1 species
UUUGGCUUUAAAUUUGUUGGA